rnacentral:rRNA from 1 species
AGAUUGAACGCUGGCGGCAGGCCUAACACAUGCAAGUCGAGCGGCAGCACGGGUACUUGUACCUGGUGGCGAGCGGCGGACGGGUGAGUAAUGCCUAGGAAUCUGCCUGGUAGUGGGGGAUAACGCUCGGAAACGGACGCUAAUACCGCAUACGUCCUACGGGAGAAAGCAGGGGACCUUCGGGCCUUGCGCUAUCAGAUGAGCCUAGGUCGGAUUAGCUAGUUGGUGGGGUAAUGGCUCACCAAGGCGACGAUCCGUAACUGGUCUGAGAGGAUGAUCAGUCACACUGGAACUGAGACACGGUCCAGACUCCUACGGGAGCAGCAGAGGGGAAUAUUGGACAAGUGGGACGAAAGCCUGAU